AUGCCUACGGGGGGCAGCAGUGAGGAAUAUUGGUCAAUGGGCGCAAGCCUGAACCAGCCAAGUCGCGUGAGGGAUGACGGUUCUAUGGAUUGUAAACCUCUUUUGUCGGGGAGCAAGGCCCGCCACGUGUGACGGGAAGGAGAGUACCCGAAGAAAAAGCAUCGGCUAACUCCGUGCCAGCAGCCGCGGUAAUACGGAGGAUGCGAGCGUUAUCCGGAUUUAUUGGGUUUAAAGGGUGCGUAGGCGGAAGGUUAAGUCAGCGGUCAA
rnacentral:rRNA from 1 species